GCCCGGUUAGCUCAAUCGGUAGAGCGUGAGACUCUUAAUCUCAAGGUUGCGGGUAAGUUGCACGAUUCGACGCACAGAAAUAAGUGCGACCAAUGCUAAUAACAACGCUUAGGUUCGACCCCCGCAUUGGGCU